CCCACAUGCACACACACACACACGCACGCACACACACAGUGAAUCAGAGAGUGACAAGUGGCUGCACCUUGAGAGGGGCUUUUAUAAUCGUCUCAGUUGCUUUACUAAAUUAAUGGAGAGAGUCAAGUGGUUAAGUGACAACAAGGUUGCAAAAGUUGGUUCUGCUCAGUUCAACAUGUUUUGUUAGUGUAAGAUUCAACCAUUAUGCUUAUUUUAGGCUUGUUUUCUGAUGACAUAUAUGACUCUAAGCCAGAUUUUGGCCCGUCCACAGUUAGGUUGAAAACCUGCAUGAGCCUGCAGACAUCAGCGAAGGAAGAUGACCACAUUUCCUUAUUAAACUAGUACCUGUUCUACGGCGUAUUUAUCACUUAUAUUGAAAGUCUGGAUGUUUUUUUUAGACAAUAAAUAGUGAAACUAGUGUGUUUAGAUACAUUUGAGUAGGCUUGUUUUGUUAAAAUUGAUCGCUGUAAUGCUUCGUUGCAGAAGGAAGGCAGCAGCAUGAGCCAGCAAACUGGCGAUCAAUAUGGAAAUUCGCUCCACUAACUGCAAUGAUUGCACCACAAAGAGGCGAUAAGAGAAGAAGAACAUAGGAGAAGGGCCCCGGGGUACAGACUGACAUGAUCCCCUGAGGACUUUCUGCAUGGGUGAGGGCCCCAACAAAUUCACUGAAGAUUAAAGGGUGGCAAAGAUGCUGGUAUCUAUGUGAAAACACACACACAGAGGUGCCAGAGAGUGGAGUUGCACAUCUGCAAGACAGUCGAGAGCGGCAGGGGGCGCAGCGUUGACCACUGCGGCCCCCAUGCGAAGCAGUUCCUUCCUGUGCGUGAGAAUGACGUCAAAACUGGACUGCAGGCGGUUCUGCUGCUCCUCCACGCGGCCCUGCAGAGUGCGGAGCCAGCGGAUCAGAGCCAGACGCCGCGUCCACACGGUGUCCAUCAGCUCAGGAAGUUCGCCGUCGGAAUCUGACGACUGAUCGCGCCUCUCCUCCGCUCCUUCCUCCAUCAGAUCUUCCAGCCUCCCGUAGACAACCAGUUGCCUCCGCUCUCCAACCGGACGGAGGACAUGCUCCCGCCGGAGUCAGAUUCGGAGUCGCUGUCUCCCCACUCGUCGUCAUUUUCAAGCUUCAUCAUCUCCUCCAUAUCAUCCCUGC